GAUGUCAAAUGGAUACAGGAGACGACUGAAAGAUCUCCCAACGGCCACAGCUGGAAGAACAGGAGCAAAUUAAACAAAAUGAAGUAGUAUUGGAUUAUAAGCCAAAGUAUAAAAUAGAUAUAUCCAUACUGAUACAAAUGAUUGAAUAAAUAGAAAAUAGACAAAUCUCCUGAACAGAAAAUAUUAAAAGAAUUUAUGUAAAUACUCCACCUUUAAGAGGUGCAGUGUAACUUCCACUCCUUAAGUCUGGGUUACACAUAGUGACUUUCUUCCAAAGUGUACGUAGUGUGAAAAGGAGAAAAAAAGAGAAGAAUUUCAUGGUGGAGAAGCCGAGUGAUCAGGUUCACACCAACAGCGAGAAGUCAUAUUGAUAGUAGGUACUGCUGAUAGGAUGUGAUGUGAUGGGAACGGGGCUUUACCUCAGUGGACCUCCUCCCGUGAGCACAUCACUUCCGUCUAAUCACGAGAAAAUCCCAAUGGAGGGACAUUCUACAAAAUACCUGACCAGUAAUCCUCAAACUGUCUAGGUCAUAAAGAAGCAAGGAAAGUCUAAGGAACUGUCACAACCAAGAGCAGUCUAAGGAGACGUGAGUGUAACGUGGUGUCCUGGAUGGGAUCCUGGAAAAGAAAAAGAACAUUAGGAAAAAACUGAGGCAAUCUGAAUAAAGACCCUCCUGCACUCCUGUGGUUGGACUACUUCUGCCAUCCCAGUGGUUACACUCUAUUGGGCAAAGAAUUGAGACAAGGAUCCCAGAAAUCACGGACUACAAGCUGUUGUACCAUUUUGCUACUGUAAUAGAAGGAAACCACCAGAGCCCGGGCUCAACCUAGAGUCACGGAGGAAACGGGGUAAGAGCCAGGCACAUCUGCGCCUCGCGGAGCGGCAAGCCCUACUGUCUGCAGCAUCCCUUCCGGCGCUUACGUGCUCCAGGCACACCUGGAGGGAGCCGGCACUGCCACGGCGGCUGGAGCCGGGAGACCAGUCCCGCG
rnacentral:lncRNA from 1 species